rnacentral:rRNA from 1 species
AGAAUUUUUCACAAUGGGCGAAAGCCUGAUGGAGCGACGCCGCGUGGGGGAUGAAUGGCUUCGGCCCGUAAACCCCUGUCAUUUGCGAACAAACCUUGUCCGCUAAUAUCGGGCAGGCUGAUUGUAGCGAAAGAGGAAGGGACGGCUAACUAUGUGCCAGCAGCCGCGGUAAUACAGAGGUCCCGAGCGUUGUUCGGAUUCACUGGGCGUAAAGGGUGCGUAGGUGGUUGGGUAAGUCUGUUGUGAAAUCCCGGAGCUUAACUCCGGAACGGCAUCGGAUACUAUCUGACUUGAGGGUUGAAGGGGGGACUGGAAUUCUCGGUGUAGCAGUGAAAUGCGUAGAUAUCGAGAGGAACACCAGUGGCGAAGGCGAGUCCCUGGACAAUACCUGACGCUGAGGCACGAAAGCUAGGGGAGCAAAC